GUCAUCACCAUUGUGGACAUCACGGUCCAAAAAUGGAAAAUUAUUGUUUUGACAUCCUCAUAUGAACUUUGUUUUCUUCCCGCUGAGUAGGGAGCUGUAGCUAUCUGUUGUGAUGAAGAAUACAACUUCAAGCUGCCCGUGUACCUAAUGAAGUGUCCGAAGGAAGAUGGUUCAAAACGUGUCAGAAAAGCAACAACCUGCAAUGAGGGCAGCUGCAGCGAUCAAGCUAACGGGCAGGACCGGGUGCAGCAGGAGGCUAGCGCCGCAGCAGUUAGCCAGGUUCACGGACAGCCAGACAAGCCAAG